AUGACACCAACACCGAUGGCCACCAUCAUCUGUUCCGCCAUUGUCUUCAUGCUCCUUUCUAUGACCAUGAUGGCUCAAGCCGAUGACUCUGGUGGUGGCAAGCCCAAGGCGACCGACCUCAUGGUAAGAGCGUGCAAGAACGCCUCGUUCAACAACCCCCAUGUGGAUCCUGUCACAGAGGAAUUCUGCUUAACCACCCUCAAGUCAGACAAUCGAAGCACUAAGGCUAUGGACCUCCGUGAACUGCUGCUAGUCGCUGAUGACAUCCUUAGGGGUCGAGUCACUGCUACCGGCAGCACGAUCAAGAAAAUGUUGGAAAACACCAGGAAAGGCACGGUGCCAAUGCGCGUCCUCAGCUUGUGUGAGGUGGAUUAUGACACUGUGUUGAGCAUCCUGAAGAUAUGUGAUGCCAUGAUCAGGGAUUACCGAGGCGAUGAGGACAAGCUACAGUCCAGUGAGCUUGUCAGUUGUGUGGAUAUGGCAUAUGAUUGUAUCAACGAGUGCGGCUCUGAGCUAGUUGAUAUGCCUGCCGUGGGGGCUUUGGUCAAUGAAAACAAUGAAUUGGCCAGCUGGUUAAACUGA
rnacentral:rRNA from 1 species